UACGAAGGGGGCUAGCGUUGUUCGGAAUUACUGGGCGUAAAGCGCACGUAGGCGGAUUUGCCAGUCAGGGGUGAAAUCCCGGGGCUCAACCUCGGAACUGCCUCUGAUACAGCAAGUCUCGAGUCCGAUAGAGGUGGGUGGAAUUCCUAGUGUAGAGGUGAAAUUCGUAGAUAUUAGGAAGAACACCGGUGGCGAAGGCGGCCCACUGGAUCGGUACUGACGCUGAGGUGCGAAAGCGUGGGGAGCAAACAGG
rnacentral:rRNA from 1 species